ACCCGCUGAACUUAAGCAUAUCAAUAAGCGGAGGAAAAGAAACCAACAGGGAUUGCCUCAGUAACGGCGAGUGAAGCGGCAACAGCUCAAAUUUGAAAUCUGGCCUCUCGGGGUCCGAGUUGUAAUUUGUAGAGGAUGUUUCGGGUACCGCUCCGGUUUAAAUUUCUUGGAACAGAAUGUCAAAGAGGGUGAGAAUCCCGUCUUGGACCUGGUAGGGCCUAUGUGAAACUCCUUCGACGAGUCGAGUUGUUUGGGAAUGCAGCUCAAAAUGGGUGGUAAAUUUCAUCUAAAGCUAAAUAUUGGCCAGAGACCGAUAGCGCACAAGUAGAGUGAUCGAAAGAUGAAAAGCACUUUGAAAAGAGAGUUAAACAGUAUGUGAAAUUGUUGAAAGGGAAGCGCUGGCAACCAGACUUGCGCGCGGCGGUUCCCCCUUCCUUUUGGUUGGGUUACUCCGCCGUGUCCAGGCCAAUAUCGGUUUUGGGGGUCGGUCAAAGGCGUUGGGAAUGUACCUACCCUUCGGGCGUAGACUUAUAGCCCAGCGUGUCAUGCGACCUCCCGGGACCGAGGAACGCGCUUCGGCUCGGAUAUUGGCGUAAUGGUUGUCAGCGACCCGUCUUGAAACACGG
rnacentral:rRNA from 1 species